GAUGAACGCUGGCGGCGUGCCUAAUACAUGCAAGUCGAGCGAACGGACGAGAAGCUUGCUUCUCUGAUGUUAUCGGCGGACGGGUGAGUCACACGUGUAUAACCUACCUAUAAGACUGGGAUAAUAUCGGGAAACAGGAGCUAAUACCGGAUAAUAUUUUGAACUGCAUUGUUCAAAAGUUAAGGACGGUCUUUCUUUCACUAAUAGAUGUAUCCGCGCUGCAUUAGCUAGUUGGUAAGGUAACGGCUUACCAAGGCAACUAUGCAUAGCCGACCUGAGAGGGUGGUCGGCCAGACUGGAACUGAGACACGGUCCAGACUCCUACGGGGGGCAGCAGUAGGGAAUCUUCCGCAAUGGGCGAGAGCCUGACGGAGCAACGCCGCGUGAGUGAUGAAGGUCUUCGGAUCGUAAAACUCUGUUAUUAGGGAAGAACAUAUGUGUAAUUAACUGUGCACAUCUUGACGGUACCUAAUCAGAAAGCCACGGCUAACUACGUG
rnacentral:rRNA from 1 species